rnacentral:rRNA from 1 species
GACGAACGCUGGCGGCGUGCUUAACACAUGCAAGUCGAGCGAUGAAAGCCUUAUGAACUAUUCGUAGUGAUUGGGGCCGGAUUAGCGGCGGACGGGUGAGUAACGCGUGAGCAACCUGCCUUAAACAACGGGAUAGCCUCGGGAAACCGGGACUAAUACCGUAUGAGACCCCGCCUUCACAUGAAGAAGAGGUUAAAGAUUUAUCGGUUUAAGAUGGGCUCGCGUCUGAUUAGCUAGUUGGUGAGAUAAAAGCCCACCAAGGCAACGAUCAGUAAGCGGCGUGAGAGAGUGAACGGUCACAUUGGAACUGAGACACGGUCCAAACUCCUACGGGAGGCAGCAGUGGGGAAUAUUGCACAAUGGGGGAAACCCUGAUGCAGCGACGCCGCGUGAGCGAUGAAGGAAUUCGUUUCGUAAAGCUCUGUCCAAGGGGAAGAUAAUGACAGUACCCUUGGAGGAAGCCCCGGCUAAAUACGUGCCAGCCGCCGCCGUAA